CGAGGAGCGAGGAAAUGAAAAUAGUCGACCUGAGACAGGGCCUAUCAACCGCUUCUGAAAACCAACGAAGAAGAAGUGGAGGCAGAUCUGCCCGCCAAUUUCGAAGGAUGUAAACAUAACAACCUCUUUUGUCGGACAGUCGGAGUGUGCUAUGAAGGAAGAAGCGUUAUAUUUGACAUCUUAACAGCGCGAAUUAAUCGUCGUCAACAAUGAAUUCCAGUGGAAAAGGAUCUGGCGAUUCAUCCCAACUUGUUGCCAGCAGUGACGGGGAUUCCAUCAAAGUGUUUGUGCGAGUACGACCUUUGACCUAUAAGACUGGGCUGACCACAGAUGGAGACCAGAAGCUUUGUCUCACAGUUACUUCAGCCAACACCAUCCGCCUGCUAUCAAAACCAGAACCACGAACAUUCACUUAUGAUCAUGUUGCUGACAUGGAAAUAUCUCAGGUUGG